GACGAACGCUGGCGGCGUGCUUAACACAUGCAAGUCGAACGCUGAAGACCUGGCUUUUGUUGGGUUGGAUGAGUGGCGAACGGGUGAGUAACACGUGAGUAACCUGCUCUCUUCUUUGGGAUAACGCCCGGAAACGGGUGCUAAUACUGGAUAUUCACUGAUCUUCGCAUGGGGGUUGGUGGAAAGGUUUGUUCUGGUGGGGGAUGGGCUCGCGGCCUAUCAGCUUGUUGGUGGGGUGAUGGCCUACCAAGGCUUUGACGGGUAGCCGGCCUGAGAGGGUGACCGGUCACAUUGGGACUGAGAUACGGCCCAGACUCCUACGGGAGGCAGCAGUGGGGAAUAUUGCACAAUGGGCGAAAGCCUGAUGCAGCGACGCCGCGUGAGGGAUGGAGGCCUUCGGGUUGUAAACCUCUUUCGCUCAUGGUCAAGCCGCAACUGUGGGUUGUGGUGAGGGUAGUGGGUAAAGAAGCGCCGGCUAACUACGUG
rnacentral:rRNA from 1 species